ensembl:lncRNA
AGGAGAGGAGAGGAGAGGAGAGGAGAGGAGAGGAGAGGAGAGGAGAGGAGAGGAGAGGAGAGGAGAGGAGAGGAAAAUACGUGUAGGAGCAGCAUUGUUUUUGUGGAAGAACUCAUUUGAAACUAUGCUAUCUCUGAGCUGCACAAAGAGAAGAGUCUUCUGGCUUUAAUCAGGUUUAAAUUGUUGUUUAUAUUUCAGUAGCCACUGUCCCACUAAGGUAAAUCACAACGUACCCAGCCGCCUUUGGAAUGCAAUUCGGGGCCUGCGGAUUUUCCAGAUAGUGGCAACUCAGAGCAGCCUGCCGCGUUGUGGCACGACCCCGAAAAUGCCAAUUUGGGGUGUUUUGUUUCGGCUUUCUUUCUUUUCUUUUUCUGUAAAUAAUUAGGCAGUCUGAUCAAACCUACGUGCGUUAAGAUGACAGGUGAUACCUUCAACAACACAUUUAAUAGUCUAAGAACUGGAGCGCACAAGAUGUCCCCCUGAGAGGAGAUCUGUGUCCCCGGGUCUGAACAGCUUCAGGGAUUCCCGAGACAAGAGCAGAAGCGGGCGCGUCUAUAGGCCGUGCUCCCACAGUGAGGCAUCGCAAAUCCAUCGGAACAGUGCUCGCUUUUCCCAGCCCACAUCCCCUGGUACCUCCGCGCGGUGUUUCUAUGUUUCCCACCGCAGCGGAGCGCUGCCCCCCGGCCCCGCUCCGUGUCAGUCCCAGCGCCGCACCUCUCGGCGGGAGGUGGGAGAAGGGAAGGACAGACGGGUUGCUUUUUUUCUUCUUUUGAAAGAAAGGAGAGAUGAAAGGAAGAGCGACAGAUGUCAGCGAUCAGCAUAUUGAAGGGAAAAAAAAAGAAGAAAGAAAAAAGCAAAUAUACCUUUACAUAUGUAUCUGUAUUAAAAAUAGCGCGCGGCACAGCCAACAGGAGAGGCGGGAGGAAGGGAGGAAGGGAGCCCGGCCCUCCGACGCCCCCACGGUCCCAUCUCGGGGCCUCCUUGCGCUGCUGCCGCUGAGGUGGCCGCCGGAUUUCUUCCUUCCGCCAAACGCGAUCCCCGGGAACACGCAGAAAUCGCGCCGGGGUCUGCGUCCGCUGCUGCCAGCGGGAGGAUUUGCAAAUUUCUUUUUCUUUUUUUUUUUUCUUAAUGCCCUUAUUUCUUCGAUGUAUGUAAAUGCAGAGGACGUACAGUGACGUCAAAGGACGUGACCCUGCCGCUAAACCUGAACGUGAACGGGAAUGGCGGCGCGGGGGGCGACGGUGAGGCCGGGAAGGGGUAGCGGUAGGGCCCCUUCCGCGGCCGCGCAGCUCUGCGCCUCCGCGCAUCCCACGCACAUGGGCAGAGCAUCCCGGCCCCGCGUGGCCCAGCACAAAGCCCACCCCGCUCCGCCGAGCCGCCCGCUCUCCCCUCCUUAUUUAUUUAUUUAUUUAUUUAUUUAUUUAUUUAUUUAUUUAUUUAUUUUCCCGUUAAUUGAAUGUUAUUUGCUGUUUCGGUUCAUCAGAUGACGAGCGGGAAAUAGGAAACUCAGAACCGUGGGGGGAAAAAAAAAAUAAAUAAAUGUUUAUCGUCCUCUCCAAAAAUGUUACGCGGUGGAUCGCGGUCCUGCAUCCCUACGGGGGCAGCCGUGCCUCGGCGGCACCUGCGGGGCUGAAAGGGGCUGCAAAGGACUGGAAGCGAGCACGGGGCGCGGUGGGGGGUAAAGGCGGCUUCCCACCUCUCCCCCCGUCCAUUUUCCUUUACCCAGGCCCUCCCUUCUCUCGCGGCACUGUUGUUUGCGGGGAUGUGAGAAGAAGUUUCAGCUGCGACGCUGAAUGCCAUCGGCGUCCUGAAAGUGGAGGGUGUUCUCUAUUAGGAUCCAAGCCUUCCUACCUCUUCCCCAGGCGUCUAUUUGCUGUGAUGCCUUCAGAGCAUCUCCCUUCGCCUCGGCACGGUCUCUCCAAUUUGCAUACACCGCACGCUGCCUCCCCUACCCGAGAGUCGGAAUCUGCGCGCAUCCCCAGAGGCCGAGGAUCGCUCUGCGCACCCCCGGGCCCCUCUCGGUCCUCACAGUGCGCCCUUUGUCCCACCGCACCGCUGGGGCAGCGCUGCCGGGGGUUCCCGAGUGCGUGGGCGGAGGGAGGAGGCAGUCCCCUACUGGCAUGCAUACACACAUGUAUACAUACGUACACGCGUGUGUGCGUGGCUGCUACAGACACACACACACCUCCUGCCGUCAGCCCGCCCCCGGCCCCCCGCCACCUGCCCACGCCACCGCGGACGUCGAGCACGGCCGCCAGCGGCCCGCCCCGAAAAGGGCAGCGGGAAGCCGUCCUGACGCCCCUCACCUCCUCCCGUCCUCCGCGCCGCUCCGCUCACCCAAACUUCCGCCCUCACGCCCUAAAACGCGGCGUUUCCACGCAGAUUACGCGCCGCUGGUUCGCGGGAGGCAGCGGAGGAGCCGGGGGAGCUAUGCCGGCGGGAGGGCACGCAGCGGUGUGCGUGGCAGCCUGACUGGGGAGAGACGCUCUCUCUCUCUCUCUCUCUUUUCUUUUUUUUCCCCCUUCUUUUUUCUCUUUAAACAUUAUGAUUUUUUUAUUAUAAUUAUUUUAAUUUUAUUUAUUUGUUUGUUUAUUUUGCAAUUGUCGACCAGUUGUUUGGUUCAGAGGAAAGUUACCCAGAAGGGGAAUGCCACCCAAGGACAGCACUCGGCAGGAGCCGCUCUUCAGAUCACGGCUGGAGAAAGACACCUACAAAAAACUCCACCGCUCGCUGCGUUUGUAAAGGAUGCCGAGCUACUUUAAAGCCAUUUGGCGCAAGAACUGCACCAUGGAGCUACACGGAACUUUUAAAGCAGGAUGAGGAUGGAGGAACGACGUGAAUUCGUGGAGAUUUGCCCGUGGGGAUCUUUGUGCUUGCCUUACCGCCGGGACCGGGGGGGGAGAACCUCCCCCACCCUCGGAGCCGCAGCGAUAUUUAAACAACGCAGACAGAGCACAGGGAAUGACAUCCAAGGCACGACACGAGCAGUGCGUGGAUAGUGACUUACGUUCCUGAAGAGAAUGAACGAGAUAUCAGUUUGGAAUUAUUCCUGGAAUUAGAACAGCAUGAGGUCUCCUCUAGCAAUCUAAGGUAAUACCACUGAAAUGCAAGAAAUCCGAAGUGAUGUAUGUACAGCUGACCAUGUACUGACAGUGUCAAGCCCAGCAAAUGUUCUGUACGCCUGCAGCCAAAAGAAGAAGGAGAAUGGGUAACCCCUGGGACAUUGCUCCACAAGGCAUGGCAAGCACACAUUUCUCUCCAAGGAGUAUUUAUUCAGCAGAACAAAAGCUUCUCUAGGAGGUGGACAGGUUUACUAAUAGUGGUAGCCCAGAAUUCUGCUACCGUGAAGCACCUUCUUGAAGUCAUUGCGAAGGAUAGGUAGUUGUUUACCCACCAACACGGCAUAACGUCAAAUACAGCAGCACUGAAAUCCCAUUUUCCUUUAACCUGGAGUGCACGAGAGGAGGUUUCAGUUGCAAUCAUUUUGCAUCAGAAUGAGCCUGAUCUAAAACGAGGGCAGAAGCAGCCCUACUGGGACUUGUACACAUAACUGUCAUACUGAUGUGAAACUUUCAUCCAAGAAGAUGGGACACCUCCUGCCAGACCAGGUUGCCCAAGGCCCAACAUGGCCUUGGAAUUUCAAACACAUCAGCAGCAACUUGCCUACAGAUGAGAUGAUUUCUGCUGUCCCAGCUUUGCUUCACUUUAGCAGAUGAAGUAUUUUAGCCAUACUCCAUAAAAGCAUGCAAGAUGGAUUUCUGAGAAACACAUCUACAGUCCUGAAUGUUUUGGAAACAAAAUAUGGUCCCAAGUCCUGCAGUCAAUCCGACCUGGUCUUGAACACCUCCUGGGACAGUGUAUCCACAACCUCUCUGGCCAGCCUGUUCCAGCACCUCACCACUCUCUUGGUAAAGAACUUCCCCCUGAUCAGAAGACUCUAAUUGAAAUUCCUCUUCAAUGCAUUAACCAUAUGUUAACCAGUGUGGGUCUGAGUGCUCAAAUGGAUUCUUCCAACAGGACCAAGUCUGCUGAGCUGAUAACUAAACCAAAUGGAAGAUGGAAAAGCUUCAUAAAACCCUUGAGUUGCAUGUACAACCUCUUUAUUUGCUUACUCAUUUAGUUUGGUGGGAUUUACAAGUAAAUUUUAUUAGGGUAAUUCCAUUACCUAUUGCACUACAUAUUGAAAAUGCAGCUCUUCUGUUGCCUUUCUGUUCAUUUACUUGUUUGAUUGUUCUUGAUACUGUACACUCUAAUGGACAAAUAAGUUAUGGAUGUUUUAUUCUAAAGGUUCGUAAACUUUAGAAACAGGCCAAUUUCCAUCCAGUCAUAAGUUUGUAAUGGAAACCAGCAAGAUAAGAAUAUGAUUAGUAUUUCAGAUGUGAUUUUAUAAUAUUCGUAAAUUAAAUUUUAAUAUUAAAAAUCCAUUGGUUGUUAUGAACUGCAAUUAUGUAUGUUUCAUCCUUUAAAGUUUUCUUUGAAAAUUACCUACAUAUUUUUCUUGAAAGUACUAUUUUUUUCAAAUUUCUUACUACAUCCCUGUGUUUUUAUAUCCAAAAAUAACUGUAGAUUUAUACUAAAGAAAAUCUAAAAUUCAAUGACAAAUCUUAAAGACUUUUCAACAUAAUUAUAAUUUUUAUGGUCCUGUUAAUUUUAUAAAUGCAGUGUUUAGCUUUUUGAAAUUGAGUAGUUCCUUUGCAGAGGAAAUCUUUACUUAAAUUUCAUGAGAUAAUGAUGUUUAAACUGAGCUGUUUGUGUGUGAUGCCAUGCUCUGCUGGCUGUUCAGAACACUUCUAUCUCCAACCUUGGUGAUACUAUGGACUCUUUCCUAUUCUAGGAAUCUGCUUUAGCAGGGGGUUGGAUGAAACGAUCUCUUUCCAGCCCCUAUGAUUCUAUGAUUCUGUGUAUGAUUCCACCGAUACAACUUGACUUGUGAUAUAAUUACCCUGACCUUAAACUCUGGAGCUGAUAGCAGCACUGUGCUGAGUGAGGAAGAAAGGCUGCUAAGGCUUGCUUCCUCUUGAGAAGAGAGAAAAGCAAGGACCAAUGUGUGCUUCCAACUCACAGUACCUCUUCACAGCAUCUAUGGAUAAUUCUAAGAAUAAGCAAAUCUGACUUGGAGUUUAUAAUGGGCAUUGAGUAAUAGAAAAAGGCAAAGACUGCAAAAUUUGGAUCAUAAGUGUUUACAUUCAGUAAGAGUAUUUGAGGGUAAAAUUUGUCUUCUGUAUUUAGCAGAAAGCCAUAAGACGGGUGUGUAUGGGUACACACUCCCCAUCAUCCCACUCAGAGAGCAGUACCACCUGCAUCAAGGAAUAUGUGUUUAUCCAUGGAAUUUGUGAGAUAGCCCCAUGGUACUCAUUCUGGCAUUUCAUUUUUUCACUAGUGUUUCAAUCUCUAUGACAGUGGAUCAAAGAGUAAAUAAAAUUUCAUUGUUCUGAAAGGUCACUGUGAAACUAAACACAGCAGUUCAAAGUGGAAAACAGAACGAAUGCCAAGGCAAGGUUUCAUGAGGUACUAAUGCUCCAAGACAUGCUUCUUGAAUGACAUCUGUGGUAUUGUCUAAUUGCUUAAAAUCAUGCAGAAGUGGACCCAUCACAGCACUGGUGUUGCCUUUCACAGUUGGAUGCUGCUCAGGUGUUAUCACAAUACUGGAAACUACAAACAUAUCUGAUACUAAACUGUUCAGUAUUAUGGAAAUACUCGUGUGCAUUUUUCAUAUUUAAAUGCUCAUAAAAGCAUUACUUAAUUCUGCCUAAAUGUGAAAAGGUAAAUCUUCUACCUUGCUAGUCUAAAUAUUAAAAUGUUAAGAUUUGCUGAUUCGUAUUAGAACUGCAGGGCUUCACCAGUCUUAAGAUUUAUGACCAAGCUCUGUUCAAACUGUAUAGGACUGCAAUUUAACCACGUCUCACAUCAGUUAAAUGUUUAUAUUUUUGUCUUCUGACAGCAACAAUAGAACUGCAUACGUGGAAGCUGUCACCAUUCUGCUUAUUGAUUUUAUUCAAAAGACGUGUACUAGCUCUGCAUUUCAACAUGUGGUUUCCAAUGACUACCGCUCAAGGACAAUGUUAAUCUCAGCUUCUAAGUCUCAUCGUGUUCAACACAGGAUUCCAUUCUUGGCCCAGUUAUUUUUGCAAGAGCAAAAAGUCACAACUAUCUAACCACAGCUGGGACUGAUUGUAUCCCUGGAGGGAGUAUUGUUCCGUGUCAAGUUUUUUUUGCUGUCAGUGGGUAUCAAUCAAACUAAACAUCUUCAAUAGCAGUGUGGAAAAAAAAGUAAACACUGAUUCUUUUCUUUUUAUUGAAUAUCAACGAUUAGUAAACUGGCCAGGAGUUUGCGUCUUCUUAGUUCCCCAGGGUUGUAGUUGCUUCAAACAGCUGUCUGCUACCUCAAGGUUCACCAAUUUGGCUUAAAAACAACUUGACCUCCCUCCCCAGCCUGCUGUUCAGCUACGGGAGCUAUAAUUUUGCCCUUUUAACAUAACAACUAGCCAUUAUGACUGAUUUCAUCCUUAUAAAGACUGAAAAGAAACAAACAAAUGGAAUGUUUUUGCCUUAGAGUACUUAGUAUAUCUGUUGUUUUUCUUUUUUUCCCCUGGGCAGUGAAUCAACCCCUUCCAUUGUUUCCUACUUCACUACUGCUGUAUUUACAGAAUACAUUCUAACUAGCUUUGAUGCAACUUGCAUUGGCUUUGUGCCUUAAAAAACAUGAGAACAGCCUCCGGUGAGUCAUAUCCAAGGUCAGACUGGCCUUCUAUCUCAUUUCCAAUCAAGCACAAUAGCAAAUAUUUAGGAAAUAAUACGAGAAUAGGGCAAGCAUUAAUUUUUAAUCAACCUCUUGCGGUUAAGAAAAUUGUUAAGCAAAAGAUUGCAUCUUUAUAUAAUAACUUCAGCUGGAUAUUUUUUUCCAACAAAUGUCCAUAAUUUAAGAGUUUAUAGCAACACUUCACAAUAUAGAGUUUCACAGCAAAACCUCACACCAUCAGAAAUAAUGUCCAUCAGUCAAUGCUGAGUCUGACUCCUAGGAACCUAUCACAGUGCAGUCUUACUGACGUGCGGAAUCAAACUCUAUAACCCGGUUAGGUUAUAAAGCAGGUAUGUUUAUUCGGCCGGCCGGGUGCAAGGGGGAUCACUCCAGCAAACUUGCACACCAGCAAGCAAAAAUGCUACAAAUUUGUAAGCCAAGUCCAUAUAUAUUCAGCAGAAUUCUUGGAACCCAUCUACAUAUUCAUUAUCCUUCUGGAAAUUUGUUUACAUACUGCCCCUCCCCUGGCACAUGCGUUGUCCAUAGUUGGGGUCUCCCUCUGGUGGUUGUGGGGAUGAAAUCAGAAGUCUUCCUCGCAAAGGCUCGACGUCUUCCUUGGUCUGACCUUCUUGUGAUGCAUUCAAACCGGUCAAAGCCAUUCAUUUUGUAUUGUUCCUUUCUUGGUGUUUGCACAGCUGACCAUGAAAUGUUGAGACAUUGUUCUCCUUCCCUAGUUUCUAAAGCUAGCUUAUUUAACCCCUAUAUGUUCAAACCCUAGACCCACCUGAGCACCUGAGCUCCUGAUCUCAUCACAAGUUUUCUUGGUUUCCUCUUUCUCAUUCUGGGGUUUCCUGAUUUGCAGUUCUGCAGGAAGAGCCAGUUCUUGUGCCUUUGGGCAUCUAUUUAUUGAGAUAACUCGACUGAAGCUCUGAUUAGGAUUUAAAUAAUGUUGGACUCUGUAUUCCCCCUUGCAAAAUGUUUUGAGUUUGAUGAGACAACAUCUUAGAAUACUUCUUCCUUUCCACCAAAAGCCCUGAAAGAAAAAGAAAAUUUGGAAAAAUUAACAGCAGUUUUUAAAGUUAUGGUUUCCUUCCUGUAGGGUAGACAUCAAGUGUUUCACAACCAAAAUGACAGCAUUUUGCAGUCAGUUUGCACUUUGCAAAUCACUUUGGAAGCCAUAGGACAAUAAAUCAAUAUCACCCAAGUGAGGGCAGUGCCGUUUAGAACAGGAAUACCCUGACCAAGUUUAAAGUUCCCACCUCAGAGGUUGGGAUCAAAGAGCUCAACAGAUUAAUUUAUCCAACAACAACAACAAAAAUUAGCUGAUAUUUAACUCCUUCAGGCUGUGAAAGGACAUCUACAAGCAUCAGUCACUGGUGUCCUACCAGCUCACACAAUAGAAACUGUGUGAAGGCUCAUAAGCAGCCAUACCCUUGAGCUGGGAGCUUCCAUACGUAACUUUUGCAGAUGAUCAUGGAAGUUCCCUAGUCUGAGGGCUUACUUAAAUGCCAAGUAAGAAGAGGAAGAAAAAAAAGAUCACUGUUGUUAUAUGGUUGAUUCUAUAUCCUUAGCAGAAAUAAGCAGGCAAAUUCCCAGCCAGUAUGUCUUUUCUUCAUUGAUUCAAAUAAUGUAUUCUGCACAUAAACAACAUUAUCAUUAUUCAUUCCAGUUGAAUGGGCUGCUUUCUUGCCUACAUAAACUACUUCAAGAGGAUAAAAGCAGCUCAGUUGCAUACAACAUCCUUUGGAAGGCAAAAUGGAGGGAAUUUCAGAAACCGUUCACAGACAAAAUUGAAGAAGACCACUUAGGAGCUGUGUUUCUGUGUAGUUUGGGGUUGAACAUGCAGAUUUUCAAGACCUUCAAGUUUGGGCCUGACUUUGACAGCCUGUGCGUGCCAGUUCCCACUGUCAGCAAUGCCAGGCGAAUCCUCAAGCUGUUGAGGUGAGAAUGCUGCUAGAAGUGAGAACCACAAGUUCACCACCGAGAUGUGCUCCUAUCAUUACCACUUUAGGGAGAAUUGUUAACUUCCUGGUUUUGCAUUUGCACCUCCAGAACUCGGAGCCCAAAUUGUUGGGAUUACUUAUCCUCAUGAUGCUACAAAAACACCUUGACAGAUUGCUUAAAGUAUAUGUUUCACUUUAAGAUGGUUAAUGUUAGCAGAAACCAAUCUUAUUGUUAGCUAUUUGGAAGCUGUUAGGCAGCUCUGUAAGAUCAUCUGUGUAUGCAAAGAACAAAUGAAAAAAAGAGUAGGGCAAUAUAAUUUGUAUUCUGGCAAAGGCAUGCUGGAGACUUGAAGAACCCACUUAAAGUUUUCAGCAUCCUGCAGUAUGCAUGUGUUGGAAAGUUGCACAAAAUAUACCUCUUCAAAAUCUGCAUGUAAUACAAGUUUUCCUUUACAGGCAUUGGUUACCACUCCCACACUUGGGCAAAAGCCUAUGUCUGAAGCUAAAGGUGCUCCCAUUAAUUUUAAUAGGCAUAAACAUAAAAACACUGAUGUCCAGAAAGGUUAAAAGGUGCAUAUUGCUGUUAAACACCUUCGUGCUUCACACUGCCAAUGUUUAUGGAGGAACAAGGGAAACUGGUAAAACAUUGUUAAGUAUUUUCUUCCACCAACAAGUACUUUCCUUAUGAAAUAUUACAAUAUUUUCAUUUUAAACAAACCAUAUUGCAAAUACU